rnacentral:rRNA from 1 species
ACUGAUCGGCCACAUUGGGACUGAGACACGGCCCAAACUCCUACGGGAGGCUGCAGUAGGGAUCUUCCACAAUGGGCGAAAGCCUGAUGGAGCAACGCCGCGUGUGUGAUGAAGGCUUUCGGGUCGUAAAGCACUGUUGUAUGGGAAGAAAAGUUAAGGUAGGGAAUGACCUUAGCCUGACGGUACCAUACCAGAAAGGGACGGCUAAAUACGUGCCAGCAGCCGCGGUAAUACGUAUGUCCCGAGCGUUAUCCGGAUUUAUUGGGCGUAAAGCGAGCGCAGACGGUUGGUUAAGUCUGAUGUGAAAGCCCGGAGCUCAACUCCGGAAAGGCAUUGGAAACUGGUUAACUUGAGUGCAGUAGAGGUAAGUGGAACUCCAUGUGUAGCGGUGGAAUGCGUAGAUAUAUGGAAGAACACCAGCGGCGAAGGCGGCUUACUGGACUGUAACUGACGUUGAGGCUCGAAAGUGUGGGUAGCAAACAGGAUUAGAUACCCUGGUAGUCCACACCGUAAACGAUGAACACUAGGUGUUAGGAGGUUUCCGCCUCUUAGUGCCGAAGCUAACGCAUUAAGUGUUCCGCCUGGGGAGUACGACCGCAAGGUUGAAACUCAAAGGAAUUGACGGGGACCCGCACAAGCGGUGGAGCAUGUGGUUUAAUUCGAAGCAACGCGAAGAACCUUACCAGGUCUUGACAUCCUUUGAAGCUUUUAGAAAUAGAAGUGUUCUCUUCGGAGACAAAGUGACAGGUGGUGCAUGGUCGUCGUCAGCUCGUGUCGUGAGAUGUUGGGUUAAGUCCCGCAACGAGCGCAACCCUUAUUGUUAGUUGCCAGCAUUCAGAUGGGCACUCUAGCGAGACUGCCGGUGACAAACCGGAGGAAGGCGGGGACGACGUCAGAUCAUCAUGCCCCUUAUGACCUGGGCUACACACGUGCUACAAUGGCGUAUACAACGAGUUGCCAACCUGCGAAGGUGAGCUAAUCUCUUAAAGUACGUCUCAGUUCGGACUGCAGUCUGCAACUCGACUGCACGAAGUCGGAAUCGCUAGUAAUCGCGGAUCAGCACGCCGCGGUGAAUACGUUCCCGGGUCUUGUACACACCGCCCGUCACACCAUGGAAGUUUGUAAUGCCCAAAGCCGGUGGCCUAACCGUAAGGAGGAACCGUCUAAGGCAG